AUUGAACGCUGGCGGCAGGCUUAACACAUGCAAGUCGAGCGGAGAUGAGGUGCUUGCACCUUAUCUUAGCGGCGGACGGGUGAGUAAUGCUUAGGAAUCUGCCUAUUAGUGGGGGACAACAUUCCGAAAGGAAUGCUAAUACCGCAUACGCCCUACGGGGGAAAGCAGGGGAUCUUCGGACCUUGCGCUAAUAGAUGAGCCUAAGUCGGAUUAGCUAGUUGGUGGGGUAAAGGCCUACCAAGGCGACGAUCUGUAGCGGGUCUGAGAGGAUGGUCCGCCACACUGGGACUGAGACACGGCCCAGACUCCUACGGGAGGCAGCAGUGGGGAAUAUUGGACAAUGGGCGGAAGCCUGAUCCAGCCAUGCCGCGUGUGUGAAGAAGGCCUUUUGGUUGUAAAGCACUUUAAGCGAGGAGGAGGCUACCUGGAUUAAUACUCUAGGAUAGUGGACGUUACUCGCAGAAUAAGCACCGGCUAACUCUGUGCCAGCAGCCGCUGUAAUAC
rnacentral:rRNA from 1 species